AAUGCUGCUCAAAAUGGGAGGUAUAUUUCUUCUAAAGCUAAAUACCGGCCAGAGACCGAUAGCGAACAAGUAGAGUGAUCGAAAGAUGAAAAGCACUUUGAAAAGAGGGUUAAACAGCACGUGAAAUUGUUAAAAGGGAAGCGCUUGUGACCAGACUUGCGUCCGGUGAAUCACCCAGCUCUCGCGGCUGGGGCACUUCGCCGGCUCAGGCCAGCAUCAGCUCGCUGUCGGGGACAAAAGCUUCAGGAACGUAGCUCUCUUCGGGGAGUGUUAUAGCCUGUUGCAUAAUACCCUUCGGCGGGCUGAGGUACGCGCUCCGCAAGGAUGCUGGCAUAAUGGUCAUCAGCGAC
rnacentral:rRNA from 1 species